AUAAAAUAUUCAUUUAGAAAAAUGAGAAAUUUGGAAGCAUCCGUCUUCUCUUGUUGAACAUCUCUCUCUCGAACAUCGCAGAAGGUUUUUUCCUUUGGAUUCUCUUGAUCGAGGGCUCUUUUGAUAAGUCCGUACUAUCACUGUGCGAUCCUCCGAUUUUCCGGUAAACUAGUUUCUCGGGAAAAUUUUCGGACCAAGACUAUCGGAAGCAUCUGUAUUUGAGGAAUGAGAGUGGAAUUGGAAGAUUUGGAUACUGGAAUUUUGAUCUUGUUGAGCAAACAAAAGGAGAAUUGAAAUGUAGAGAUGGGCCUUCAUUGUUAUUGGAGGGUCAACGGCAAUGGAAUUUGGCUGAUGAUCGCUCCGGGUUGUAGAGUUCAAUAUCCUGUAAGGGAUAGGGAGAGAAGGAUGUGCAGCUAGAAGACAAUGUUUGGGGUGAAUUUGGUGUGAACGAUGGCGGUAUAGAGCCUCAUCCCGCUUACAAGUGUAGCAAUCAGUUUGUAGUCCUAGUUAGUAGCUGGAAGAAACGGAGACAUGAUGUGAUGGGUUGUGAAAGAAAUAAAACAGACAGUGAUAUACAUCUAACCGGGGCUGGUGCUAUAAUAGAAAGAAGUCCUUGGCCUGAUGCAACCAAUGGUGGAUCUCUGGAAUCUGGUGAUACUGGAUCAGGCAAAGAUCUACAGAACAUAACAUCGAAGGAUUCGAAGAUGUCAGACCAUGGGUUUAACUGUGGUGACAUAGAUAUUACUGAAAACGACUUCUGUGUUCCUUCUCCGCUGUUGGGUGACAGCUCUGCUGCAACACAUGAUACUUUGUACAAUUACCCCCUCAAUCACAUUUCAAUGAUUCCACAAACUGAAAACAAUCUCAGCUUUUUCGAUACCGGGUGCAAUGAUAUGGAAAGCAAUGAUCUCUUCUAUGGCUGGAGCGACAUAGGAAAUUUUGAGGAUGUGGACAAGAUGUUGAGGAGUUGCGAUUCAGCUUUCAGUCUUGGGAGUCUUAAUAAUGAAGAUGACUUGUGCUGGUUUUCUUCUUCUCAACCAAUGGAGGAGUCUGAAGCCGCAAUGAAAGAUGAUUUGAAAUCAAGUGAAUGGUUGGAAAAUCGCGGAGAUUUUUUACUGAAAAAUGAUGAUUCUGUGACUUAUGGCCAGACCAACCAUAUGGUUAAAGAUGAUUCUCCAUCUGCUGUUGGUAAGGUUCCAGUUCUCGGUAAAGUAUUAGCUGAUGUGUCUGAUACAAGUUUGCAAAAGAAGGAUGUGUCGAUACUGGAUGAACAGGCCGAUCUAAAUAAAAAGCAGACCAAACAUAGGCAUCAUCUGGAUGGGAAAAGAAAUAGAUACUCGGAGAAUGGUAUCAUGUUACAUCAGAGUGAAAAUUCCAGGAAAAUAGUUGACACAAGACAUAAAUAUCAAAUCUCAACCUCUCACUAUUACCCUCGCCCAGAGUUCCAGCAGUCAGGUGUUACAUACUCACAUUUAAACUAUGAUCAGCCUUCAGAUCAAUUAUCAUUAUGUCAAAGUAAAUCUGGUGUCAAACCUGAGAACAAUUCCAAUGAGUCCUAUGCAUCGAACCAGGCACAAUCCCUCGAGAGCUUACAUGGUCCUACUGCUGAUGCUCCAGGCAUGUUUGCUUUUGAGAAGAGAGGAAAGUUGCAGCAGGGUCGAGAUUCACAUCCUUCUGUUGCUGCAAAUGUCAGGUACGGCAAUAAGCCAAAGAUGGCGGCACUUUCUGAGUCUUCACCUGUUCAAAAGAUUGGACGGAAGAAUGAGGACAAGAAAGAUGCUGCCAAAUUGGAUUCAUCAAAUGUGCAUGAGAGUUCUUGUGUUAGCUCUGUUAUGGAGGACAUUUCACUGGAAGCAAUAAGUUUCCGCCAGCUCCAACGAGUGAUAGAACAGUUGGAUAUAAGGACAAAAUUGUGCAUACGAGACAGCCUUUACCGAUUGGCGAAAAGUGCAGAGCAAAGACAUAAUUGUAUGAAUCCAGAUGGUGGAAACAGACAGGAGAAUGACUCAGGGUCGCAUCUGGUGACGGGGGAAACAGAGAAGUAUGCUGGCUUCAUGGACAUGGAAACUGAUACGAAUCCUACAGACCGGUCAAUAGCUCACCUGCUGUUUCACAGGCCGUUGGACUCAUCUCUUGUCUCAGAGAACGAAGUUCUCUCGUACAAAUGUCAUCCAAUGAUUCCUCAGCCCAAUUCAAGUCCAAGUCUGAGGAUGGAGGAACAAGAGGAAACACCGACAGAAACACAAGUUGUCAGAGACGACAAAAAACGAGUUUCUGCAAGUCUCUUGUGGUUUUUUGUUCCGUAAGCUCUGGAAUGACCGUUCAUUUCAAGCUCAGUCUACUUCAAAAGGGAAACUCGGACCUCCACUUCAGUAUCAGAAACUCAGAAAUCAUGUAAUGGCAGUGGUCGAUCCCCGCACACCGGACAUACCAUUCCUCUUCCGCUUGAAUACGUUUUCGGAAUCCCGCACUGCGUGCACAUUCUGCAAAUGUAACAGAAAAAAACGAGAGCUCAGUGCCAUUUCCAGCGGAAGACAAGGGUAUCCUGUCAAUGACUCUAUUAGCUACUCGGAAUUUCCUUUGAAAUGAAUGAGACCAUAAAAGGGUAUCCGAGGGUUCGACUUCCGGUAAUCCUUCAUGCCAAUGUAAAAGGGCAUUCAUAAAGCUUUUUCCUUGCAAAAUGGCAUGAAGUUUUCGACCGCACCUUGGUUGUAAAAAGCGCGAGGCGCACUGAGGCGGUAAAGGGUCUUAAAAUCCGAGGCGUGAGGCGCGAGGCGAGGCGCGCGCCUC